rnacentral:snRNA from 1 species
AUCGCUUCUCGGCCUUUUGGCUAAGAUCAAGUGUAGAAAGGUUGGGUUAAGACCUUGACCCGACACCCAGGUGAUUGAAACCUCUUUAGAAUAUUAAUCACUGCUAUUUAUCCCCAACAGAAGCACAAGGAUAUAGUAGAUUCUCU